rnacentral:rRNA from 1 species
CAGUAGCCGCGGGAACACGAAGGGGGCUAGCGUUGUUCGGAAUUACCGGGCGUAAAGGGCGCGUAGGCGGCCAUUCAAGUUAGAUGUGAAAGCCCUGGGCUCAACCUAGGAAUUGCAUUUGAUACUGUUUGGCUUGAGUUCGGGAGAGGUGAGUGGAAUUCCCAGUGUAGAGGUGAAAUUCGUAGAUAUUGGGAAGAACACCAGUGGCGAAGGCGGCUCACUGGACCGACGCUGACGCUGAGGCGCGAAAGCGUGGGGAGCAAACAGGAUUAGAUACCCCCGUAGUCCCUGUCUCUUAUAC